GGUGCAGGGAAACCUCUUCCAGGCAGGACGUUGGCAUGAGGAGGCAGAGGUGGACCGAGGUGAGGGCCCAUGUGCAUCUGCCUGGCUUCAGACGGGACCAUCUCGACAACUAUUGUUGUAAGUUUAGGACAGAAUUCAGCUACUGACCUCUCCAUGAACCGAGGUUCGAACUGUGCGGGGACCCCCUGUAACCUCUGCUGCCCCUGGGCAAGGAUCUGCGGUGCCAUAGCCAUCUGGUUCCUCAUUAUCAGCUCCUGCCUCUGCCUCAGCUCUGCAAGAAGUGAAAAAGCACCACAGGUCACCGGGAGGCCGUUUUAGCUGCUUCACCUGGCGCAUGCACUGACUGUUAAAGCUGGAGCCUGCAGGUGCUACUGAGCAAUCCACCAACGUGCAAACACGGCGUGAGGGAAGCAGACAUCCCAUUGACGAGUCGGUACCAGUGCUUCUCAUCCAAAGACCCCUGCUCCCCUAGCGCUGUCAUCUUCCUCAGCUGCUCCCGUGGGGUCAUGACACACUCACGACCUUUGACCUCCACCUGAAUGCUGUUAAGAAAGAGAGCCAAUUGAAGGAUUUCUAUAAACUAGACAGUUUACUUGACACAUUGAUCCUAUAACGCUUUGCGUGGCAGGUAAAAUAAAAUCACACAAGAUUAUUUCGCACAGUAGCUGAAACUGAGCCAACUACAAACCCCUCAGUGCUGGGUGCAUUUUUGUAAUUCCCUCACAUCACCAUUAGAGAGCAGCAGUUCUCUAUCUCACGUUGAUUACUGAACAUUGCAGGUAAAUUCUGCCUAGUGUCUGUUAUUACAUACUUUAUGACUGCAAAGAUGCAGCAGUGAUUUCAGCAGCAUGUAAAUAUUUGUAAACGGCUUGUAAGCGACCUUUUUAACUACAGCUAAGUAUAACUCUUACCUCACCUUUUCCACAGACCUGGCCUUAAGUAUUAAUCUUAAACCUACCUUAACGCUAAUACCUCGCCGUAAUGCAAAUCAAUCCCGAACCGUUAAAUCCAAAUCCUAACCCCGUACGAAGAACAAACAACUGGACGAUUUCUUCUCAUCUUUUCUGUCCUUGCAAAUGCUGCUGGUCCUCCUGUACAGGGAUAGAGGCGCACUCACAUGUGCGCUCACCCCAGAUACCCGCAUUGUUCUCGGCUGAACCAGCAGCUUGUGCAGAUAAGUGCAAUCGACUUAGAGACCUCCAAUUAGCCUUCCACACUGCAGAAAUCCCAUUACAAAAUAUGAUACUGUAAACGACAGUAAUCCAGCGCUGCUAAUCCAGGGCCGGUGUGCAUCUGGAGACAUGAAUAAUGGAUGCUCACCCCACAGAACCACCUCUUCAUAUGAGGUUUGCUGAUUGAACUGAUGAGCCUGCCAGUGCAGGGACAUGUGUAAGCUGUGCACAUGCACUUGGACAUA